UACGUAGGGUGCAAGCGUUGUCCGGAAUUAUUGGGCGUAAAGAGUUCGUAGGCGGUUUGUCGCGUCCGUUGUGAAAGCUUGGGGCUCAACCCCAAGUCUGCAGUGGAUACGGGCAGACGUAGAGUCAGGUAGGGGAGAACGGAAUUCUGGUGUAGCGGUGAAAUGACGCAGAUAUCAGGAGGAACACCGGUGGCGAAGGCGGUUCUCUGGGCCUGUACUGACGCUGGAGGAACGAAAGCGUGGGGAGCGAACAGG
rnacentral:rRNA from 1 species